GCGAUAGCCAGCCGCGGCUGCCCUUGCGCUUCCCGAGCUGGCGGGGUCCGUGGUGCGGGAUCGAGAUUGCGGGCUAUGGCGCCGAAGGUUUUUCGUCAGUACUGGGAUAUCCCCGAUGGCACCGAUUGCCACCGCAAAGCCUACAGCACCACCAGUAUUGCCAGCGUCGCUGGUAGGGACUGAAGGUUGGAGAAGCAUAUUAACUGCUCCAGGGUCAUUUGAAGCUGGGCUGCAAGUCCAGGUCGGCUGACCUGCUCCUAGGGGUCUCUGAAGCAAGGAAUGUUCCCAUCAGGCCUGACCGCCGCUGCCUACAGAGUCACACUCAAUCCUCCGGGCACCUUCCUUGAAGGAGUGGCUAAGGUUGGACAAUACACGUUCACUGCAGCUGCUGUCGGGGCCGUGUUUGGCCUCACCACCUGCAUCAGCGCCCAUGUCCGCGAGAAGCCCGACGACCCCCUGAACUACUUCCUCGGUGGCUGCGCCGGAGGCCUGACUCUGGGAGCACGCAGUACAGUCCUGCCCCAGGGCCUUUGCAUGGGCAGUGCACUGCGUGGAAUGCUGUUCCCCUCACUGUCCUGACCACCCUGUGUACAAGCCAGCAUCCCCGCCGCCCUCGCUCUGUGCCGCCUUCCUUCUGUGUGCCUUGUCAGAGGACACAGGUCACCAAGGUCACCCCCUGUCUCUGCCACUGGCCUGUGAGUCAGAGAGGAGGAUGGAUGGAGUCUCGCCCUGCCAUCUCUCUCCCUGCACCUGGAGCCCUGCAGGGGAGCUGCCCCCGCAACCUUCACUUUACAGAAAAGGGUAUUAGGGCUCAGGGAGGGAAUUAAGUGGCCCGAGGUCACCUGGAGGAGCAAGUGGCCUUCUUUGCAGCCAUCAGAGGGUGCAGCCCUGGUGGAGAAGGCCACGCUUGGCACAGGGGAGCCCGUCUGGAGCAUGAGCCAGACAUCACUCCUGCCCUCCCAUGGGCCCGGGCUCAGCGUCAGUGCCCGCCUGUGCCCCUGGCCUACCCCCAGCCCGCCAAGGCUCGGGCCCUCAGGGCCAGUGGGAGGAGUGAACGAGCCCUCUUGCAGCUCAGCCGCUCUGGCCUGGCAUGUUGGGAGUGAUGAAUGGCAGGUUCCAGGCAGGCAGAGAGGGAGGGUGCGAGGGCAGGGCCUACGCCGUCACUGCUGUCUCUGCGUCAAGACCUUGGGGAGGCCUUGUCCCUCCCCAGCUCCCACUGGAACUGGUCAGAGGUUGCAGGUGGGUUGAGGUCUUGACUGUAGCCCAGCUCAGGCUGGAACUGCUCCCUGUCCCCAAGCCAGCCUCCCUGUCUCUCUUCAAAGAGUGUGAGUCCCUUUAGGUCCUGGUGUGUGGGGACACACCUCCUUCCUCCUCUGGCCCGGAGGCUUCGGAGCAGGAGAGCCUGGAGAAGUGGGGGCACUGUCGGGGCUCCUCGGUACACAGACCACGGGACAGAUGCGUGGCCUGGCCCUGGCAUCCAUGGGCAAAGGAGAGACUGAGACACACCGAUGUGUCACCAUGGCCCGGUGCCCAGCCUUGCCCCAGCCCCAGCUGGGGGCAGCACGGUGUCCUCGCAGGGGGAAGUCAGUGUGGGGCGGGAUGAGGACCCACAGCCUGGGUUCCUGCUGGGAAGCAACCUGGACUCCGGCCUCCCUCUGUGCAUCAGUUUCCACAUCUCCAGAGUCUAGGGCCCUCUUCCUGAGUGACUUAAUCCCUGAAGAGAGUGUCCUGUCAGGGGUCUCAGUCUGGCUCCCAGGGUGGGCACCGGCCAGGGCGUGGAGCGUCU
rnacentral:misc_RNA from 1 species